GACGUAGGGCGCAAGCGUUGUCCGGAUUUAUUGGGCGUAAAGAGCGUGUAGGCGGCCAGGUAGGUCCGUUGUGAAAACUCGAGGCUCAACCUCGAGAUGUCGGCGGAAACCAUCUGGCUAGAGUCCGGAAGAGGAGAGUGGAAUUCCUGGUGUAGCGGUGAAAUGCGCAGAUAUCAGGAAGAACACCCGUGGCGAAGGCGGCUCUCUGGGACGGUACUGACGCUGAGACGCGAAAGCGUGGGGAGCGAACAGG
rnacentral:rRNA from 1 species